rnacentral:tRNA from 1 species
GGGGCAUUAGCUCAGUUGGUUAGAGCAGCGGACUCAUAAUCCGUUGGUCCUAAGUUCAAGUCUUAGAUGCCCCA